rnacentral:rRNA from 1 species
CGGUAUGAGUAGCGAAAGAUAGGUGAGAAUCCUAUCCACCGUAUGACUAAGGUUUCCUGGGGAAGGCUCGUCCUCCCAGGGUUAGUCGGGACCUAAGCCGAGGCCGAGAGGCGUAGGCGAUGGAUAACAGGUUGAUAUUCCUGUACUAGUUAAACUUGUUUGAACAAUGGAGGGACGCAGUAGGCUAAGGAAAGCACCCAGCUGGAAAAGGGUGUCCAAGCAGUAAGUCUGAAGUAGAGUCAAAUGCUUUACUUC